UUGUCUUCUAUUUAUAACCACAAUACUCAAGAUACCGCAUCACUUUAAGAUAAAUAUGUCAAUGAAAUGAAUAAUUUACUAUGGAAAGUCACUACGGUUAUUAUUAGAAGUCAAAUAAUUUAUUGGGUCGUUUGCUAUCGGUUCUGUAAAUUUCACUUUGUAAUUGUUCUGAGGAAAAUUAAGAUAUUCGCUAUCUAUUCUUAAAAUAAAACGGCAAUAUAUCCCAUUCUGUGUAUUGAAAUUCUGAAAAUUAGUACCAAAAUGUGUUUUUUUUUAAAUUAUUUUUUUGUGUCGAUCUGUUCUAUGACGCUCAAAGUAUUAUAAGCUUUCAAACGAAGCUAAGUAUGAUUUGCGUUAAUACUAAUAAAGCUAGGAAACUUUUUCAAAAUAUUCUAUAUUCGUUAUAAAGUUUAUUAAUUUGUAACUAAAGGUUCAAAUAGUGACCAUCGAUUCGUUUUACUAAUGCGUGAUAUGUUACAGGGACAAAAGUCAGUUCGACACCACACUCACAUCGAGUAAUUUGUUAAAAACCCUCCAGCUCGCAUAAUGUAGCAAAAGUCCUAGCGGUCCCAGUUGCGUCGAAAGCACACACCGGACCCGCAGGUGGCGACACACACCGCCCUGCACAAAGUGGAGGCGGCACACCUUCUCUCACUAGAGCACGGAUUAUAUCAGCUGGCGCACGCAUUUCCUUGCGUUCCUUCUCUAUAUUGUUAAUUUCUCCGAUAUAAGAUGGUCGUAAAAACGGUAGACUGGCCGAGUCUGCUUUGUGCAAUACUGAAAUGUAAAUAUAUAAAUGAAUAACUAAUUGCAA